GCAUUGCUGACGAGUUCCAAACAGGACAAAACAGCUGUCCAGUGC
rnacentral:hammerhead_ribozyme from 1 species